GAUCCUGCCAGUAGUCAUAUGCUUGUCUCAAAGAUUAAGCCAUGCAUGUCUAAGUAUAAGCAAUAUAUACAGUGAAACUGCGAAUGGCUCAUUAAAUCAGUUAUCGUUUAUUUGAUAGUACCUUACUACUUGGAUAACCGUGGUAAUUCUAGAGCUAAUACAUGCUAAAAACCUCGACUUCGGAAGAGGUGUAUUUAUUAGAUAAAAAACCAAUGCCCUUCGGGGCUCCUUGGUGAUUCAUGAUAACUUAACGAAUCGCAUGGCCUUGUGCCGGCGAUGGUUCAUUCAAAUUUCUGCCCUAUCAACUUUCGAUGGUAGGAUAGUGGCCUACCAUGGUUUCAACGGGUAACGGGGAAUUAGGGUUCUAUUCCGGAGAGGGAGCCUGAGAAACGGCUACCACAUCCAAGGAAGGCAGCAGGCGCGCAAAUUACCCAAUCCCGACACGGGGAGGUAGUGACAAUAAAUACUGAUACAGGGCUCUUUUGGGUCUUGUAAUUGGAAUGAGUACAAUUUAAAUCCCUUAACGAGGAACAAUUGGAGGGCAAGUCUGGUGCCAGCAGCCGCGGUAAUUCCAGCUCCAAUAGCGUAUAUUAAAGUUGUUGCAGUUAAAAAGCUCGUAGUUGAACCUUGGGCCUGGCUGGCCGGUCCGCCUCACCGCGUGCACUGGUCCGGCCGGGUCUUUCCUUCUGGGGAGCCGCAUGCCCUUCACUGGGUGUGUCGGGGAACCAGGACUUUUACUUUGAAAAAAUUAGAGUGUUCAAAGCAGGCCUAUGCUCGAAUACAUUAGCAUGGAAUAAUAGAAUAGGACGUG
rnacentral:rRNA from 1 species